rnacentral:misc_RNA from 1 species
AAGAAGUCAAAGAGUAAGACUAGCAAUGCGGGAGAGAAAUACUAAUUUUAUUCUAUUUCGCCCUAGAGGAGAUAGAGAAUGAAAUUAGUUAACUUUCCCCCGUAAGAAAGGAAAUCAAGGAAAGAAGUCUUGGUAAGAGUGAUGUUUUACUAUUCAAUGACAUGCUAUCCUUCUCCUUCUAUCGGCUAAGGCAUUCAUUCAGGAGUUUACGCUGCAAAGACGAUUCGUGCUAGCUCUUCUUUAACUAGUUACAUGAAUAGCCUAUAGGUCUAGUUUACUAAGCUUUCAGUCUACAUAAACCUCAUGCAAUAUUGAUUACACUCCUUCUCCUACUGCUUCUCCUUAUACCCACUAACGUCAGUCUAUAGGUCCUUUGGGCCUAGUGUCAG